rnacentral:rRNA from 1 species
GCAACUCGCCUGCAUGAAGCUGGAAUUGCUAGUAAUCGCGGAUCAGCAAGCCGCGGUGAAUACGUUCCCGGGCCUUGUACACACCGCCCGUCACACCAUGAGAGUCGGGAACACCCGAAGUCCGUAGUCUAACCGCAAGGGGGCGCGGCCGAAGGUGGGUCCGGUAAUUGGGUGAAGUCGUAACAAGGUAAC